rnacentral:rRNA from 1 species
CCCAGUUCGGAUCGCAGGCUGCAACCCGCCUGCGUGAAGUCGGAAUCGCUAGUAAUCGCGGAUCAGCAUGCCGCGGUGAAUACGUUCCCGGGCCUUGUACACACCGCCCGUCACACCAUGAGAGUCGGGAACACCCGAAGUCCGUAGCCUAACCGCAAGGAGGGCGCGGCCGAAGGUGGUUCGAUAAUUGGGGUGAAGUCGUAACAAGGUAAC